GAUCGCUUAGCUCAGCUGGUUAGAGCGUUGCAUUGACAUUGCAGAGGUCGGUGGUUCGAAUCCACUAGCGAUCA
rnacentral:tRNA from 1 species